AUGUGGUUUAAUUCGAAGCAACGCGCAGAACCUUACCAGGGCUUGACAUCCCCUGACAGCCGUGGAAACACGGUCUCCGCGCUUUGCGCGGCAGGGAGACAGGUGCUGCAUGGUUGUCGUCAGCUCGUGCCGUGAGGUGUUGGGUUAAGUCCCGCAACGAGCGCAACCCUCGUCCCUUGUUGCCAUCGGGUGAUGCCGGGCACUCAAGGGAGACCGCCGGAGACGAUCCGGAGGAAGGUGGGGAUGACGUCAAAUCAUCAUGGCCUUCAUGCCCUGGGCCACACACGUGCUACAAUGGCCGGUACAACGGGCUGCGAAGGAGCGAUCCGGAGCCAAUCCCUAAAAACCGGUCCCAGUUCGGAUUGCAGGCUGCAACCCGCCUGCAUGAAGUCGGAAUUGCUAGUAAUCGCGGAUCAGAACGCCGCGGUGAAUACGUUCCCGGGCCUUGUACACACCGCCCGUCACACCACGAGAGUUGGCAACACCCGAAGCCGGUGGAGCCAACCCCGAAAGGGGAGGCAGCCGUCGAAGGUGGGGUCGAUGAUUGGGGUGAAGUCGUAACAAGGUAGCCGUAUCGGAAGGUGCGGCUGGAUCACCUCCUUUCUAAGGAGA
rnacentral:rRNA from 1 species